rnacentral:rRNA from 1 species
GAUCAUGGCUCAGGAUGAACGCUAGCUACAGGCUUAACACAUGCAAGUCGAGGGGCAGCGAGGGCGUAGCAAUACGCCUGUCGGCGACCGGCGCACUGGUGAGUAACACGUAUGCGACCUGCCCCCUACAGGGGGUAUAACCCGUAGAAAUGCGGACUAAUCCCCCCAUAGUCCUGGGUGCUGCAUGGCAUUCAGGGGAAAGGUCAGCCGGUAGGGGAUGGGCAUGCGGCGCAUUAGCUAGUUGGCGGGGCAACGGCCCACCAAGGCGACGAUGCGUAGGGGUUCUGAGAGGAAGGUCCCCCACACUGGUACUGAGACACGGACCAGACUCCUACGGGAGGCAGCAGUGAGGAAUAUUGGUCAAUGGGCGCAGGCCUGAACCAGCCAAGUCGCGUGAGGGAAGACGGCCCUACGGAUUGUAAACCUCUUUUGUCGGGGAGUAACGUGCGGGACGCGUCCCGUAUUGAGAGUACCCGAAGAAAAAGCAUCGGCUAACUCCGUG